ACCACUGUCGUGUGUUUUCUUUAACUUGUGGACACAGACUUACAGAUAAGUGCAGAAAAUAAAUCCGCCUUUGCAACCCAAUACUUAUUGUUCAGUAUAAGUUUGGAUACGUGUAAGAAGGAAUAUU
ensembl:snoRNA